GUGCUGUGAUGAACAUGUUAACAGCUGAAUACACCAGUGAAGCAAACUAUUUAAGCCUGAGCACU